rnacentral:rRNA from 1 species
AGAGAGAGACAUGCGCGCAUAUCAAUAAGCGGAGGAAAAGAAACUAACAAGGAUUCCCUUAGUAACGGCGAGUGAAGCGGGAAGAGCUCAAAUUUGAAAUCUUCAAGGUUUUACCUUGACGAAUUGUAGUUUAAAGAAGUGUUUUCUGCUGAAGUUUUGGUAAAAGUUCUUUGGAAUUAGGACAUCAUAGAGGGUGAGAAUCCCGUAUUUGACCAUUAUUUUCAGCUUUGUGAUACAGCUUUCAAAGAGUCGGAUUGUUUGGGAAUGCAGUCCAAAAUGGGUGGUAAAUUUCAUCUAAAGCUAAAUAUUGGCGAGAGACCGAUAGCGAACAAGUACCGUGAGGGAAAGAUGAAAAGAACUUUGAAAAGAGAGUUAAACAGUACGUGAAAUUGUCAAAAGGGAAGCGUUUGACACCAGUGUUGUUUUCUCGAAAAUCAAUUAAAAAUGGCUCGAUUUUGUAUUGCUGAGACCUUAAAAGCUCACUGUACAUUUUUCGUGUCCUUUUUUAAUGCACUUUUCGUUUAACAAGUCAACAUCAGUUUCUUUUGUUGUAAAAGGGUCAUUGGAAGGUGGCUUUCUUUUCGGAGAAAGUGUUUAUAGCCUUUGGCCUCUGCAAUCGGAGAGACUGAGGUCUGCAGCGUAGACUCUUCGGGGUUAGAUACAUUUGUGCUAAGUUAUAGCUUUUUAUAGUACAACUUGUUGACUAUAAUUAGUCUUGUAGCUUACUCGCUUAUGCUAUUUUACCUACGCUUAGGAUGUUGAGUCGUAGAGCACGCAG